rnacentral:lncRNA from 1 species
GUCAGCCUCCGUGUGUCCGCAUCUUCCCCUCCCAGCUGGAGGGUGUUGCGGGUGAGACGGGAUGGAUGGUCCGUGACUGUCCACAGGCUGUCCUGACAGCGACGCACGAGAGCGGACCAGGGAUGAUGGUCAUCUGCGUGCCAAGCUGCUCGGUGCUUCUGGAGACGGGAAGCUGCCCAGUGACUUUGCCGAAGUUCUCUUUCCUCCCCAGUCCGUCCCUCUGGCCUGUGGCUGCGAUCCCUCAUUGUGGACAGUUGGCGGUGGCGUCCGUCUCCCAGAGUCCCGAUAAGCGCCCUGUGAUGGGUCCAGGCACCCCUCUGUAUUCGACGCUGGAACCCGUCCUUGUUAUACGCCGCACACCUGCUCCUCACCACGCCUGGCCCGCCUGCACUGAGCAGUCCUCCAAAUGAUUCCUGCCGCACACCCGCACGGUCCCCGCUGCACCCUGUUCUCUCUCGCCUCGGCCAACGCUUCCCAACUUACUUUUCUUUUAACCUAAAAUAUCAGAAAAACAGCACAUAUGCCCUUAUGACUGGCCAAUCCGGGGCAUGGCCCUCCUGUGGCUCCUGCCACAAGCUUAGCGGCUUUGCAACAGGACAGUGUUAGCUCACGGUUCUGCAGGCAGACGUCUGGUGUAGGUCUCACCGGGCUAAAACCGAGAUGUCAGCAGCGUCUGUGCCCUUGCCCAGGCUCCAGGGGAGAAGCCACCUCCUUGGUGUUUCCAGCUUCCAAGCUGGCCGGCAUGCCUGGGCUGCGGCCCCUUCCUUCCUCUAGCUGGAAAACCAGCGAGGUUGGUCUCCGCACGGCACUCCCUGCCCUGAUUGCAGCCAGCAAGCGUUCUCCACGUUUAAGGGCUCGUGUGGUUGGAUUGGGCGCACCUGGAUAGUCUAUUCUACUCUCCCGUUCUCAAGAUCCUUCACCUUCAUCACACCUGUGAAGUCUCCUUUGCCAUGGAAGCGAACGUAUUCACAGAUGGCAGGGAUUAGGGCGUAGGCAUCUUGAGGGCCCCUAUUCUGCCUACUACAGUCAUUCUCGAUGGGAAGGGAGGG